GCUUGCUUCAGCAGUGCAUAUACUAAAAUUGAAAUGACACAGAGGGGAUUUGCAUGGCCCCUGUGCAAGGAUGACACGCAAAUUUGUGAAGCCUUUCAUAUUUUG